rnacentral:sRNA from 1 species
UCAUAAGGCAUCACCCAUACGGGAUCUAG